UGCAUUUAUGCAUGAACUGUUCUACCAAAGCUUCCAAAAUUUUAAUAUGCUGUUACUGAUGACAAAAUGGAGGUCAAGUUCAAUAAUGACGAUUUUGACUUUUACCGUUCAGGAGUUAUGGUUCUUGAAAGAUUGAAAAAUGGUGUUUCCCGUCGUGUCCGUGCAUUUUCUCAUGAACCAUUCAACCAAAGCUUUUGAAAUUUUAAUAUGUUGUUACUGAUGACAAAAUAGAGGUCAAGUUCCAUAAUGACGAUUUUGACUUUUACUGUUCAGGAGUUAUGGUUCUUGAAAGAUUGUAAAAUGGCGUUUGUUGCAUUUACUCAUGAACCAUUCAAUCUAAGCUUUUCAAAUAUUAUUAUUUCAAAAUGUUGAUACUGAUGACAAAAUGGAGGUCAAAUUUGAUAUUGAUGAUUUUCACUUUCACCAUUCAUCAGUAAUGGUUCUUGUGAUAUUGCCAGGACACAAAUAAAUGUAAAUAAAUCCGGUUUGCUGUCGUUGUGACAGCCUCUUGUUUACAUCUGAAUUACAGAGGUCUGGGCAUAUACACCUUAUCGCUAAUCCCGGCUGACCCGGCCGCUUGACUUUUUGAC
rnacentral:lncRNA from 1 species